UACGGAGGAUGCGAGCGUUAUCCGGAUUUAUUGGGUUUAAAGGGUGCGUAGGCGGGAUGCCAAGUCAGCGGUAAAAAUGCGGUGCUCAACGCCGUCGAGCCGUUGAAACUGGCGUUCUUGAGUGGGCGAGAAAUAUGCGGAAUGCGUGGUGUAGCGGUGAAAUGCAUAGAUAUCACGCAGAACUCCGAUUGCGAAGGCAGCAUACCGGCGCCCUACUGACGCUGAGGCACGAAAGCGUGGGUAUCGAACAGG
rnacentral:rRNA from 1 species